rnacentral:rRNA from 1 species
AGUGAACGCUGGCGGCAGGCCUAACACAUGCAAGUCGAACGGCAGCACCGUAAGUGCUUGCUCUUACGGGUGGCGAGUGGCGGACGUGUGAGGAAUGUAACGUAAUCUACUUUUUCGUGGGGGUUAACGUAGCGAAACUUACUCUAAUACCGCAUACCACCCACGGGUGUAAGCAGUGGAUCUUCUGACCUUGUGCGAUUGAAUGAGCCGAUGUGGGAUUGGCUAGUUGGCGGGGUGAAGGCCCACCAAGGCGACGAUCCGUAGCUGGACUGAGUGGAUGGUCGGCCGCACUGGAAGUGAGACGCGGACCAUGGUCCUACGGGAGGCAGCAGUGGGGAAUAGUGGACAGUGGGCGCGAGCAUGGCCCAGCGGUACCGCGUGGGUGAAGAAGACCUUCGGGUUGUAAAGCCCUUUUGUUGGGAAUGAAAAGCAGCAGCUUAAUACCACGCGGUACUGACGGUACCCGAAGAAGAAGCACCGGCUAACUUCGUG